UGAGAAAGGGGACGAUAUCUGGAGCCUAGGGCUUGGGCGACUCCGUCGUUUGAAAACCGGACGGCGGUGGCUGGAUACGGGCUGCGCAGAGGGAGGCCGCAGCGCAUUCGUCGUCACCGAGGAGGAAGGCGACGCCGCCUAGAUGUGACGGCGGAGUCGGUGGUUUGGACUAGGUAGAGUGAUUGAGAGGGAGAAAAUCGGCGUCGUCCUAAACCACCAGAGGGGAAAAGGGAGAGUGAGCGGCGCAUUUGGAAGGAGGAGGAAGGUUUGGUCGGGAGAAGAAAACCGAGAGAUGUAGCAGAAGACAGAGGAAGGUUUGGGAUAGAAAAGGAACGAGGGAGAAGAUGAAGGGAGUAGCGGCGCUGAUUCAUCUUCAAACCCUAAAAUGAGAGAGUAUUUGAGCAAUGAACCCUAAAAGGGUGUAGAAGGUUCUCGAUAGGCUCUGGGCUGUAUUGAUUUAUUUUUUCUGUUUACGCUAUAAGUAUGGGAUUUGAUUUUUUUUAAUAAAUAAAUACACAUUGUAUUAACUAUGGGGUUUUUUUUUUUUUUGAGAAACACUAUGGGCUUUGGUUUUAUCAUAUUGGUGAUUUGUUCGAACAAAAUCGUACAGCAAUUAUGCAAUUAAUGCCUAAUCCAUAAUCUGAUUUCGAAAAUUGAUUUGUUUGUUAUCUAAAUUAUUAAAUUCAUAUUUAAGUGCAUGUAUUGAAGGAGUGCUCAAAAUAUUAAAUUCAUAUAAAUUAUUAUUAUAUUAGAAUAAUUAUAUUUUUUUUUCAGGGAAUAAUAAU
rnacentral:lncRNA from 1 species